rnacentral:rRNA from 1 species
AUGAACGCUGGCGGCGUGCCUAAUACAUGCCAGUUGAGCGAACGGACGAGAAGCUUGCUUUUCUGAUGUUAGCGGCGGACGGGUGAGUAACACGUGGAUAACCUACCUAUAAGACUGGGAUAACUUCGGGAAACCGGAGCUAAUACCGGAUAAUAUUUUGAACCGCAUGGUUCAAAAGUGAAAGACGGUCUUGCUGUCACUUAUAGAUGGAUCCGCGCUGCAUUAGCUAGUUGGUAAGGUAACGGCUUACCAAGGCAACGAUGCAUAGCCGACCUGAGAGGGUGAUCGGCCACACUGGAACUGAGACACGGUCCAGACUCCUACGGGAGGCAGCAGUAGGGAAUCUUCCGCAAUGGGCGAAAGCCUGACGGAGCAACGCCGCGUGAGUGAUGAAGGUCUUCGGAUCGUAAAACUCUGUUAUUAGGGAAGAACAUAUGUGUAAGUAACUGUGCACAUCUUGACGGUACCUAAUCAGAAAGCCACGGCUAACUACGUG